rnacentral:sRNA from 1 species
CCCACGGCUCACGCCGUGGGCUUUAUUCUGUCGCCCUUCCAGGGCU